UACAAUAAACAUCGUUCUCAUUUUUACCAGCAGAUUCAGUUCUUUCUCCUUGGUGAACUUAUUGAAGUGGAUGAUGUGAUGGAAGACAGUUCAUUGAGAUUUGGGCCUAAUGGGGGCCUUGUAUUUUGCCAGCAAUUUUGACUGGUUGGAGAGUUGCCUUGGACACACAGAGGAUGAUUACAUACUUUUUGACUGUCCAGGUUUUUAGAAACAGUUAUGUAUUCGAUGAUUGAAGAUGCAUCAAGCCAAUUUAAAAGCACCAAAUUCAACAAACUGACAGAGGCACUUUGUGGGAUUAUUGAUGAUUACAGUAUGGUCAGAUUCCUACCUUUUGAUUGAUCAGAUGAAGAAUGCAUGAACAUUCUUCAGCACAUAGACUUUACCAUUCAGUAUGGAGAGGACCUAGAGUUCAAGGAACCAAAGGAGAAGGCAGAGAACCUUGAUGAAUUCGUUCAGGACAGAGCUGAUGAACCAUGAGGACAGAGUUUCUGUAGGAUAGAUACCUUUAAUUCAUGAUUUUUUGCUUGGAUAUGCAGUGGCAGUGUGUUGGGCACAACACCUUAGAUCUGCAGACUGAGAGUUACUGCACAAUGUGUUUUAGUUUUAACUGUACUGAAUUGUCACAUUGGCAGAUAUAUGAGUAACUAGAGCAAUUUAUGUAAGCAAGUGAAAUGGGGAAAUCCCUGUUUGCAUUAUGUUACAUUUCUUAGCUAGCGGGUGUAUGUACAAUAUGUUGUAUCAGAAAGGAGUGUAAUAAGAAGAUUGUUACGAUUUCCAGAUGAACAAUUGUAUGUUCCUUUUGUGUACCUUUGGAUAGCAGAAAUAUAUCUAAAAUAUAUUUUUUAAUCCA